CCUACGGGGGGCAGCAGUGGGGAAUAUUGCACAAUGGGGGAAACCCUGAUGCAGCGACGCCGCGUGAGUGAAGAAGUAUUUCGGUACGUAAAGCUCUAUCAGCAGGGAAGAAAAUGACGGUACCUGACGAAGAAGCCCUGUCUAACUACGUGCCAGCAGCCGCGGUAAUACGGAGGGGGCAAGCGUUAUCCGGAUUUACUGGGUGUAAAGGGAGCGUAGACGGCUGCGCAAGUCUGGAGUGAAAUCCCAUGGCUUAACCAUGAAACUGCUUUGGAAACUGGGAGGCUGGAGUGCAGGAGAGGUAAGCGGAAUGCCUAGUGUAGCUGUGAAAUGCGUAGAUAUUAGGAGGAACUCCAAUGGCGAAGGCAGCUUACUGGACUGUAACUGACGUUGAGGCUCGAAAGCGUGGGGAGCAAACAGGAUUAGAUACCCCUGUAGUC
rnacentral:rRNA from 1 species